GGUUGUGGCUCAGAGGUAGAGCAUGUGCCUGGCAUGCGAGAGGCACUGGGUUUGAUCCUCAGCACCA
rnacentral:tRNA from 1 species